CUACGGGGUGCACCAGUGAGGAAUAUUGCACAAUGGGGGGAACCCUGAUGCAGCAACGCCGCGUGGAGGACUACGCAUUUCGGUGUGUAAACUCCUUUUAUAUGUCAAGAAAAUGACGGUAGCAUAUGAAUAAGCACCGGCUAACUCCGUGCCAGCAGCCGCGGUAAUACGGAGGGUGCAAGCGUUACUCGGAAUCACUGGGCGUAAAGGACGCGUAGGCGGGCUUGUAAGUCAGGUGUGAAAUCCUACAGCUUAACUGUAGAACUGCACUUGAAACUACGAGCCUAGAGUAUGGGAGGGGCAGAUGGAAUUAGUGGUGUAGGGGUAAAAUCCGUAGAUAUCACUAGGAAUACCUAAAGCGAAGGCGAUCUGCUGGAACAUAACUGACGCUAAGGCGUGAAAGCGUGGGGAGCAAACAGGAUUAGAUACCCUUGUAGUC
rnacentral:rRNA from 1 species